UACGGAGGGGGCAAGCGUUGUUCGGAAUUACUGGGCGUAAAGCGCAUGUAGGCGGUUUUGUAAGUUAGAGGUGAAAGCCCGGGGCUCAACUCCGGAAUUGCCUUUAAGACUGCAUCGCUAGAAUUGUGGAGAGGUAAGUGGAAUUCCGAGUGUAGAGGUGAAAUUCGUAGAUAUUCGGAAGAACACCAGUGGCGAAGGCGACUUGCUGGACACAUAUUGACGCUGAGGUGCGAAAGCGUGGGGAGCAAACAGG
rnacentral:rRNA from 1 species